UACGUAGGGUCCGAGCGUUGUCCGGAAUUAUUGGGCGUAAAGAGCUCGUAGGCGGUUUGUCGCGUCUGCUGUGAAAUCCCGAGGCUCAACCUCGGGCCUGCAGUGGGUACGGGCAGACUGGAGUGCGGUAGGGGAGAAUGGAAUUCCUGGUGUAGCGGUGAAAUGCGCAGAUAUCAGGAAGAACACCGGUGGCGAAGGCGGGUCUCUGGGCAACAACUGACGCUGAGGAGCGAAAGCGUGGGGAGCGAACAGG
rnacentral:rRNA from 1 species